rnacentral:rRNA from 1 species
AACGAACGCUGGCGGCGUGCCUAACACAUGCAAGUCGUGCGAGAAAGUUCCCUUCGGGGAGCGAGUAAAGCGGCGCACGGGUGAGUAACACGUAGGUAAUCUACCUCUAAGUCCGGAAUAACCAGCUGAAAGGCUGGCUAAUGCCGGAUAAGACCACGGCCUCUGCGGGGGCCGCGGCCAAAGGUGGCCUCUUCAUGAAAGCUAUUGCUGAGAGAUGAGCCUGCGUACCAUUAGCUAGUUGGUGAGGUAACGGCUCACCAAGGCUGUGAUGGUUAGCUGGUCUGAGAGGAUGACCAGCCACACUGGGACUGAGACACGGCCCAGACUCCUACGGGAGGCAGCAGUGGGGAAUAUUGCGCAAUGGGGGAAACCCUGACGCAGCGACGCCGCGUGGGUGAUGAAGGCCUUCGGGUCGUAAAGCCCUGUCGUAGGGGAAGAACUGGUUGCAGGCUAAUAUCCUGCAGCCUUGACGGUACCCUACAAGAAAGCACCGGCUAACUCCGUGCCAGCAGCCGCGGUAAUACGGAGGGUGCAAGCGUUGUUCGGAAUUACUGGGCGUAAAGAGCGUGUAGGCGGCUGAUCAAGUCGGGUGUGAAAGCCCGGGGCUUACCCCCGGAAGUGCGCUCGAAACUGGUCAGCUAGAGUAUGGGAGAGGGAAGUGGAAUUCCUGGUGUAGCGGUGAAAUGCGUAGAUAUCAGGUGGAACACCGGCGGCGAA